GAUGAACGCUAGCUACAGGCUUAACACAUGCAAGUCGAGGGACCGGAGCACGGGUGAGUAACACGUAUCCAACCUGCCCUUUACCAGGGGAUAGCCUUUCGACAGAAAGAUUAAUACCCGAUAUAAAGGAUGGGGAUGCGUUCCAUUAGGUUGUUGGUAAGGUAACGGCUGACCAAGCAUUCGAUGGCUAGGGGUUCGGAGAGUAAGGUCCCCCAGAUGGGAACUAAGACACGGUCCAAACUCCGACGGGGGGCAGCAGUGUGGAAUAUUGGGCAAUGGGCGCUGGCCUGAACCAGCCAAGUGACGUGAAGGAUGAAGGCUUAUGGGUCGUAAACUUCUUGUAUAGAAGAAGAUGUAUUAUAUGAAUAAGGAUCGGCUAACUCCGUGCCAGCAGCCGCGGUAAUAC
rnacentral:rRNA from 1 species